GCCUUCGUGGCUUAGUGGUAGAGCAUCUCACUCGUAUUACGUAAUCUCGAGUUUCAGAUGGUUCUGAUGAGAGGAUCCCUGGUUCGAAUCCAGGCUGAGGCA
rfam:Cryptococcus dejecticola CBS 10117 unplaced genomic scaffold supercont1.5, whole genome shotgun sequence.